UUAUAUAUAUAUAUAUAUAUAUAUAUAUAUAUAAUUCAACCAAAAACACAGGCUGUAUGUAGCUGAGGUAAAAAUAAUGUUAGAGAAGGAAAUAGAACAAGGAUAUCCUGAACAAUUUAAAAUAUUUGCAACUCUAGAUGUUUUCAUUAAGUGGCAAUUUUUUUGCUGAAAUUGUGGACAAAUGCAUGCAAGUCAAAAUACAAUAAAAGCUUUUUUUUGAGGGGCCAAAACACACAGUAAGAUGAUAAUGACUCAUCAGGUAACUGCAAAAAAUACUGAAAAUAUGUGCAGACAUAUGUACAUAUGGACAUGAUCCUGAUCUUAUCUUUAUUUAGUCAGUGCUGUUUGAAUUCUAUGAAUUUUCAAUAUUUUUGCAAAACAAAAUCCCUAAACCUUUAGCACAAAAAAGCAAAAUACAUAAGAAGACCCAAAUCAAUUAAAUAAAACACAUUUUUGGGCUUAAAGGAAUUGUGGUUCAUUCCUCCAUUAAAAAAGAUUAAGAUUAGGACUUUGACUUAAAUAUUCCAAGAAAAUAAUGUUAUUAUUAUUUAAUAACAUUAAAGAAGUUUAGUAGAAGCUUAGUAGAAUUAUGUUUACAAUAUUUUUUUAAGGUCAUUGUCUUCCUGCAUGACCCACAUUACUUUAAGAUUCAGGUCACAGACAGAUGUUCUUAUAUCUUACUUCAGAAUUUGCUGGUAUAACAUAUAAGUAAUUGUUCCAUGAGUGAAACAUGGUGCAUAUGCAACAAAACAAAUACAAACCAUGAUACUACCACCACCAUGUUUCACAGGUGAAAUAUGUUUUUUUUAUGCAGGAAUGUAGUGUUUUUUCUUUCUCCAAAUAUAACAUUACAUAAUAUCUGGUUUGUAUGUCUGUAAGCCAAAAGGAUUACAUGUGUAAUGUAAAUUGUUUAACCAUUUAGGACAGACAGCCGCUACAACAGCAAAUCCUUUGGGUAAUUCACCAGGGACUUCUAACACAACAAAUCCUUCAGGAGGAUCUGGAUUUUCUCCUACAGCAGUGGAAGCUAAAGUAGGAUCUACAUCAGCGCCACUUGCAACAAGUCCUCCAGAAAAUAAAUCUGCAUCCUCUACAACACAGAGUCCUCCAGGAACAUCUGCAUCUUCUGCAACACAUAGUCCUGCAGGAAAAGCUGCAUCAGCGUCUCCUGCAAUACAGAAUCCUCCAGGAAAAUCUGCAUCUGCAUCUCCUACAACACAGAAAACUCCAGAAGGAUCUGCACUGCCACCUGCAGUAGGAGGACGAUCUGCAUCAGGGUCUAAGGCAACACAGACGCUUCCAGAAGAAUCUGCAGGCAAAUCAGCUGCAACAGUGGAGCCUAAAGCAACACAACCUGAUGAUAAUAUCACUAACGAGACUGGAAAAAUGCAUGGAUCAGCUGGCGAAUCUUCUUCAACUCCAAAACCAGAUACUCCUGAUAAUAAGAAAUACUUUUGGAUUUUGUUGCCUGUGGGAGUUGCUUUCCUGGCUGUGGCAAUGUACUUCAGGUACAAAUUCUUCAAAGUCCACCAUCAUCCAGAGACAACAGAUAAUGGAACUGAGAAUGCUUCAUUCCAAAGGACGGAAAGUAACAGAGACGGGGUCACGCUGCUGGGAGUGAAAUCGUCAGGCACUGAGGAGGGCGCUGCUGCAUAAUAAGCAGGAUGAGGAAGUGAGAGACAAGAAGCGAAAGAAGCAGAUGAUGGAAGAUGAAGACCACCAGCCUUGCUUUUGUUUGUUUGGGAUGGGAUGAAUUGGAACAGUAUAUUUUGGGUUUAGUAUGUUUAAUUUGUAUGCAGUGAAUUGGAGCUUGGGUUAAUAUGAACUCUGUACAAAAUAAAGCUGAAUGAAGGAGCUUUGUUUUUAUCCAAUAUUUCCAGAAAAAAGACAUUAAUUCUUUUACAGUCUUCAUCAUCAUCCUAAAGCGAAUGCAUUUAUUUGCUCAUUUCUUCUUUAUAUUUUUGUCUUUCAAAAAUGCACACAAUCUAGUUCUACUUAUCAAAAAGUCAGGAUUUUAACACAACAGUAACACUCAUUUA
rnacentral:lncRNA from 1 species